rnacentral:rRNA from 1 species
GACAGAGGGGGCAAGCGUUGCUCGGAAUUACUGGGCGUAAAGGGCUCGUAGGCGGCCAACUAAGUCGGACGUGAAAUCCCUCAGCUUAACUGGGGGAACUGCGUCUGAUACUGGAUGGCUUGGAUUCGGGAGAGGAAUGCGGAAUUCCAGGUGUAGCGGUGAAAUGCGUAGAUAUCUGGAGGAACACCGGUGGCGAAGGCGGCAUUCUGGACCGAUAUUGACGCUGAGGAGCGAAAGCCAGGGGAGCAAACGGG